rnacentral:rRNA from 1 species
UACGGAGGAUCCAAGCGUUAUCCGGAUUUAUUGGGUGUAAAGGGUGCGUAGGCGGCCUAUUAAGUCAGGGGUGAAAGACGGUAGCUUAACUAUCGCAGUGCCUUUGAUACUGAUGGGCUUGAAUGUACUUGAGGUAGGCGGAAUGUGACAAGUAGCGGUGAAAUGCAUAGAUAUGUCACAGAACACCAAUUGCGAAGGCAGCUUACUAAAGUAUGAUUGACGCUGAGGCACGAAAGCGUGGGGAUCAAACAGG